rnacentral:rRNA from 1 species
CACGUAGGGCGCAAGCGUUGUCCGGAAUUAUUGGGCGUAAAGAGCUCGUAGGCGGACUGUCACGUCUGCUGUGAAAAGCUGGGGCUUAACCCUGGCCUUGCAGUGGAUACGGGCAGACUAGAGGUAGGUAGGGGAGAAUGGAAUUCCCGGUGUAGCGGUGAAAUGCGCAGAUAUCGGGAGGAACACCAGUGGCGAAGGCGGUUGCCUGGGGCUUUGCUGACGCUGAUGCGCGAAAGCGUGGGGAGCGAUCCGG